CGUACGCAAAACAUUGUUUGCUCAAGGUUGGGGCAUUUGAGUGUCCUCUGGUCUGAGCAGACUGGUGAGACUUCCUGUGGUCUGCCUGUGCCUUACCCCAGCUUCCUCCUGGACAGCUCGAACUUCUCCCUGCUUGAUCCCUCAAGCUUGCCAUCUGCAAGUGAAUAGCAAAGACAGAGUCUUACUAUGGACCUAGGCUGUCCUUGAACUCCAGGUCUUACCUCUUCAAGUUUUAGAAUUACAGAUGACCUGCGUAUUCAUAUUCUAGC